rnacentral:rRNA from 1 species
GGAAUGAUGGUGACCUAAACCCUCACCAGAGUAACAAUUGGAGGGCAAGUCUGGUGCCAGCAGCCGCGGUAAUUCCAGCUCCAAUAGCGUAUAUUAAACUUGUUGCAGUUAAAAAGCUCGUAGUUGAAUUUCUGCGUUAUCGAGUUAUUGACUCUUGUCUUUAAUCGAUUUCGCUUUUGGGAUUUAUCCCUUUUUACUUUGAGAAAAUUAGAGUGUUUCAAGCAGACUUUUGUCUUGAAUACUUCAGCAUGGAAUAAUAGAGUAGGACUUUGGUUCUAUUUUGUUGGUUUUUGAACCUUAGUAAUGGUUAAUAGGAACGGUUGGGGGCAUUCGUAUUUAACUGUCAGAGGUGAAAUUCUUAGAUUUGUUAAAGACGAACUACUGCGAAAGCAUUUGCCAAGGACGUUUCCAUUAAUCAAGAACGAAAGUUAGGGGAUCGAAGACGAUCAGAUACCGUCGUAGUCCUAACCAUAAACUAA